GCGCCUGUAGCUCAGUUGGAUAGAGCAUCUGCCUUCUAAGCAGAGGGUCACAGGUCCGAAUCCUGUCAGGCGUACCA
rnacentral:tRNA from 1 species